CGGCUGACUGACAGUUAAUACAUAUGAUCUGAAAUACAUAGCAUAUUUUUACAUUUAGCUAGCAAAAUAUCUGAGUAUAGUUUAGGCAAAGAGGCUUAUUCUCACGUAAACCAGAUAGAAAAGUUUUCACAUGUAUUUGUAAGAAACAUAAUUAGCUUGUUUGAUCUGAUAACUUCAAGUUUUCAUAGGAAACACAUAAGGUAAACACUGUAUAAAAGCACUGCCCAUUAGUCAAAAUAAGCUACUCUAAUUUACAUUCUAGGUUUCAUUCGUUGCAAUUAAAUACAAACAUCUGAAUACACAAAUACAUUUGUAACAUUUUUUUCCAGUUUUUGUUUGUAAGGCAUUGUUUGCAGCAUUUUUUUUAUCCUAUGGAAUGUGUCCCAAGUCAUACAUUUUUUCUGUCAUUGAUUGUCUGUUAAACUCUUGCCAGGGACUUGUUUGCAUUGUUUGCGAUGAUCUCCAUCCUCUGAAGGUGGGUUUUCACUGCUCUCCGGAUCUGCUCCCAUGCGUGAGAACUAUAUUUCUU